UUUUUUAAAAAUCGUAAAUAUAUGAAAUUUAAAACUUAUUAUAAAAAAAAUUAUAUUGAUAUAAAGUGGUAGCAGUGAUAACGUAAAGUUAAACAAAAUUAGAAUUUCAUCUAAAAUUUUAAAUAUUUAAAUUUUAAUAUUACUGCAAAACUACUGUUAUCGACCGAGAUUUUUGAAUAUUUGUAAUCUUUAAUUUCAGAUAACAAUUUAUCGUUCUCAAUGCAAGUAGAGAAUCGCAUCGUAUUUACAGGUAAAAGCAAAUAAAAAAUAAAGCUAUCGUCAAAUUAUUCAGAUUAUAUGCUCCUUUAGAAUUUCGAGAGCAAUUGUUUUUAUUUUUUUUUCGUUAUAUAUAAAAUGAUAUAAUUAUACUAUAAUAUAGUAUAUGUAUUCGUAUCGUUAUUAUACCGUGCAUAAUAAUUCGAAUGAUAUUUGACGAAUUAUGUCUGAUAUAAAUAUAUUCGUCAAGACGCGACAAUAGUAACACUAAUUAAACGUAUAUAUUUGAGCAUCGAAGAAAUAUAUAAGUAUACAUAUUGACAGACUCUUUCUAUGAUUUUUCGAGCGUGAAUAUAAUAGAGGAGAAGGUUGUAAUAGAAGAAAGAAUUUAUAUAGAUUAUUAUAUCUGUAUUUUAUUGUGUCAUAAUAGACGUGUUUCUUACGGCCACGUCCAUCGAUGGAAUGAACAUUGACGUAAAUAAAUAAAACGGAUAUAGAAAAUAUAAUGGUACUUUGGUAAACUUCUAUUCGAAAUUAUUAAGAUUCAUUAAUGAUUGUAUGAAAAACAAUGUUUUUAUAUUCCCUGCAAUAUUUCGAAUAAUGAAAUUACAAAAGUUGUAUUUUUUGCAUAAAAGUAUUGAAGAUAAAAACAAUAUAUCUUGAACGAGGAAUCAAAAAAAAAAAAAAAAAAAGAUUACAUUACAAUUAUAAUCGGAGAUUUCUAUUCACAAAUUUUAAUAACAACUUAAUCAUAUCGUUAUUGUUCUUAACUUAAUCAUCGUUAUUAUUCUUAUAUUUACAGAAAUGUAUUUACACGCUUUGUAUACAUGAGUAAUUUCUAGCGGCGUGUAUACACAUGAUUUCACAUUAAAAUUCGCUCAUUUUAUAAUAAGAAAUCUUUCUAAAGAGAUCAUACAGUGAGAAAAAUGUUUGUUUUUUUUAGGUCUCAUUUCUUUAUGUCCGAAUCUUUAAAACAUUUUGAAAAGAAAAUAUAAAAUCGAUGUCAUCUAAUGAACAUAUAACAGCAUAAUAAACCAAAAGUAUUAUAUUAUAAAUAAUUAUUGACAUCAAAAGUGCGAUACACGUAUUAUUCAAUGAAACGUAGUGUUUACAAUAAUAAUAUACACCAUAAAAUUCAACUUUAAUAAUUAAACGAAAAUAAAAUUCAUAUUAAUUUCGUAUAUUAUAUUUUAUUGACUACUUAGUAACUAACUGACUAGUAAUCGGAGAUCGGUUCAAGUCGAUCAUCUCCACUUCGAAGAAUUAUACAUAUUAGUAAUCAUAUACAAGAAAAAAACAAUAAGAAA